rnacentral:lncRNA from 13 species
UCAGCGCCUGUCUAGUUGGUAUUCAAGAGCCGAUGGAGGGAGAGGGAGGAAAAAAAGAAAACGACUGUCAGAUCCUUUGAAAUAUCCUGGGACGUCUUGCUCGGAGCUUAUUGACUGAAAUUUGCAUGCAAAAUUAGCCACCUCUGCACACAGAGUUGAACUGGUGCCAAGAAAGCCCGACACUUGAUAUGAUAAGGGGCCGACACUUGAUAUGAUAAGAGCCCGACACUUGAUAUGAUAAGGGGCCGACACUUGAUAUGAUAAGGGCUCGACACUUGAUAUGAUAAGGGCCCGACACUUGAUAUGAUAAGGGGCCGACACUUGAUAUGAUAAGAGCCCGACACUUGAUAUGAUAAGGGCUCGACACUUGAUAUGAUAAGAGCCCGACACUUGAUAUGAUAAGGGCCCGACACUUGAUAUGAUAAGGGCCCGACACUUGAUAUGAUAAGGGCCCGACACUUGAUAUGAUAAGGGCCCGACACUUGAUAUGAUAAGGGCCCGACACUUGAUAUGAUAAGGGCCCGACACUUGAUAUCUUCCAGUGAUGCAGUCAUGAGGCCUGAGAAUUGACAGUUUGGCAGCUUGAUUUAAUUUUCUGGUCCUUUGCAUAUUCACCCCUCUCCUGACAGCAACCUAAGACAUUCCCAGGCACAGGUUCCCCCCCACCACCCCAACCCCAGUCAGUUCCGUUAUCUUGUGACAUGUCGAUUUAGGAUGUGCACAGACGUUUUUUGCUCCCCACACGAACCCCCCUCUUAUUCCUCUCCUCGCCUUAAUUUAGUUAGAUAAAUUUUGAAUGACCCUCCUCGGCUCGCUACCAGAUGUCUACAAGCUGUUUAACACUCUCCAAAUGAAGAACCAUCUACAGUAAUUAUUUCAUUGGAGAGGAGUACUCUGACAGCCUGGACAGUCACCCAAUCAAGUCACACAGGUACGCAGCCGCCUCAGAACAGCCAGCGGAAGAAUUCUCCAGAACACAGCCCGAUGUUCCGAACCAAGGAUAUAAACAGAGGGAGCCGGGGGAGGAAGGAGGGAAGAGACGAAGUGAGAGAAAGAGGAGGAAGGCCCAAAGGUGCGGCUGCUGUGCCCCCGCCUCACUGCGCGGGCGCGUUCUGGCGCUCCAGCGCCAUCUCGCCGUUCUACAGACCGCCCGAUGUGAUGCCCAGCGCUCCUCCCAGGAGCUGCGAGACGCCAACGAGAAGAUCACGUCGCAGCUCGCCCAGAGACUGAACGUCAGCAAGCAGUUAUCACAGGUACCACAGACCAGAAGAGGGGAGGACAGGCACAGAGAAAGUGGAACAAACAGAAGAGAAGGAGGGGUAGGGAAAGAUAAGCAGGGGGGUUGGUACAGUAACUGGGAACGAGGAAGUUGUUCUUUUUCUUUCCUCUUUUGUUUCUUCCUGUCUUUUCUUUUGUCUUUCGGUGUGUUUCUGGGGGCCCUAUCCCUGGCUGCAGUGGGAGCAGCUCCUUUGCCCUUAUCAUGCUUAAUAAGUGUGUGUCUGACAGGCCUGCCCUCGCCUGAGGAGGUCAGCACCACAGAGGAGCAGAGGAAGAGCCACAGAGCACUGAACACACUGCUGCAGUCUCCUGCAAUGCUAUACUAUACCCUACUGACUACUAUACUAUACCCUACUGACUACUAUACUAUAUCCUACUGACUACUAUACUAUACCUUAUUAACUACUAUACCCCACUGACUAUUAUAUUAUACGCUACUGACUACUAUACUAUAUCCUACUGACUACUAUACUAUACCUUAUUAACUACUAUACCCCACUGACUAUUANNNNNNNNNNGGGGAUUUGGUGAAUAAAAGGAUGGCACUGUGAUAGACUACAUCCAAUUUGUUGAGUAGAGUGUUGGAGGCUAUUUUGUAAAUGACAUCGCCGAAGUCGAGGAUCGGUAGGAUGGUCAGUUUUACGAGGGUAUGUUUGGCAGUAUGAGUGAAGGAUGUUUUGUUGCGAAAUAGAAAGCCGAUUCUAGAUUUUAUUUUGGAUUGGAGAUGUUUAAUGUGAGUCUGGAAGGAACGUUUACAGUCUAACCAGACACCUGGGUAUUUGUAGUUUUCCACAUAUUCUAAGUCAGAACCGUCCAGAGUAGUGAUGCUGGACGGGCAGGCAGGUGCAGGCAG